UGAAAUUGUCCUUUGCGAAGAAUUCAGGGCUUUCCCCCUCCCCCACCUUGAUCGAGGGGUGCUGCUUUUUUCCUCCUCCUCAACUCCCUUGUGCACCUUCACCACCCGGCACUCUCCACCUCCCUCCCUGCUUGGCCAGAAAUCAUCAGGUCAGGUUGGAAAUCUCUGACCUCCUCCUCCACAUUUGGAACCACGUUUGAUCACUUUCCACCAGCCUGGGAAAUGAGCUUUGGGUCCUGGGUCCGGCCACUCUGCUGUCACCCUCAGCCAAUGCAUCUUUGGCCCAGGUCUUUGUAAGGUGGACAGGGCAGUCCCCAGGGUGACAUAGACCUGCCAUCCCUCAGGGUCCCUCUGUUUAGACCUGCAGGAGGCCU
rnacentral:lncRNA from 1 species